UACGUAGGUGGCAAGCGUUAUCCGGAAUUAUUGGGCGUAAAGCGCGCGUAGGCGGUUUUUUAAGUCUGCUGUGAAAGCCCGGGGCUCAACCGAGGAGGGGCAUUGGAAACUGGAAAGCUUGAGUGCGGAAGAGGAAAGGGGAAUUCCUGGUGUAGCGGUGAAAUGCGUAGAGAUCUGGAGGAACACCAGUGGCGAAGGCGACUUUCUGGUCUGUAACUGACGCUGAGGUGCGAAAGCUUGGGGAGCAAACAGG
rnacentral:rRNA from 1 species